rnacentral:rRNA from 1 species
GAUGAACGCUGGCGGCGUGCCUAAUACAUGCAAGUCGAGCGAACGGACGAGAAGCUUGCUUCUCUGAUGUUAGCGGCGGACGGGUGAGUGACACGUGGAUAACCUACCUAUAAGACUGGGAUAACUUCGGGAAACCGGAGCUAAUACCGGAUAAUAUUUUGAACCGCAUGGUUCAAAAGUGAAAGACGGUAUUGGUGUCACUUAUAGAUGGAUCCGCGCUGCAUUAGCUAGUUGGUAAGGUAACGGCUUACCAAGGCAACGAUGCAUAGCCGACCUGAGAGGGUGAUCGGCCACACUGGAACUGAGACACGGUCCAGACUCCUACGGGAGGCAGCAGUAGGGAAUCUUCCGCAAUGGGCGAAAGCCUGACGGAGCAACGCCGCGUGAGUGAUGAAGGUCUUCGGAUCGUAAAACUCUGUUAUUAGGGAAGAACAUAUGUGUAAGUAACUGUGCACAUCUUGACGGUACCUAAUCAGAAAGCCACGGCUAACUACGUG